GAUGAACGCUAGCUAUAGGCUUAACACAUGCAAGUCGAGGGACCGGCGCACGGGUGAGUAACGCGUAUCCAACCUACCCAUAACUAAGGGAUAACCCAGCGAAAGUUGGACUAAUACCUUCUGGUUUUGGAUGGGGAUGCGUCUGAUUAGCUUGUUGGCGGGGUAACGGCCCACCAAGGCAACGAUCAGUAGAGGUUCUGAGAGGAUGAACAGCCACACUGGAACUGAGACACGGUCCAGACUCCUACGGGAGGCAGCAGUGGGGAAUAUUGCACAAUGGGCGCAAGCCUGAUGCAGCCAUGCCGCGUGUGUGAAGAAGGCUUCGGGUUGUAAAGCACUUUCAGCGGGGAGCGUUACCCGCAGAAGAAGCACCGGCUAACUCCGUGCCAGCAGCCGCGGUAAUUC
rnacentral:rRNA from 1 species